CACUAAAUUACAUCCCACCAACUUAAGCUUCCCUGGAGUGACUCACACAGUGGUUGACUUUUAAAGUUCAUUGAAGGUGAGGGUUCAGGCUAUACAAGGUCAGAGUUUCUCCAUGAAGCAGGACAAACAAAAAUUCAUAAUGCCAGGCUGUUUGACAUUCUUUCUAAAAGGAGAAGGCCACUGGUUUUUCCCUCCCCUAACUCUUUCCUGGAAAAAAAGUAUAGGAAUUAUCCCCAGUGGUGUUGGAAGACAGAAUUUCUGGUGCCUUACUUGUUGCCAGAUAUAAAGAUAGAAAAUUCAUUACUGAUAUAUACUGGAUCACCAGAAGACUGGAUGGUGGCAGGCUGUGAAUCAAAGAAGGCAGGAGGUGAAAUUAUCCGGGGAACCCUAGAAUGACAUAGUGAAGAAAAACCAGAAAAUGAGCAGUGUGGAUCCCACUGCCAAUCUCAGUGCAAGCCUCUGGAAUGAAAUGAAGAAGAAGGCGAUGAAGAUGACUUUUAAUGAAUCAUGUCAGAGUAAUAUCCAAACAGAUGGUGGCUCUCUCCAGGGAUUUUUCUCCUCUGGAAGGAUGCCAUGGAGAUGUCCCUCAGAGUAUUCUUGAAUGGCACAUGUUGAAGACAGAAACCAUCUGCUUUGGGAUUCCUAAAUGAUGGCAUGGAAUACAGUUGAUCUGUGUAACUGUUAGCUGACUUCAGAAUAUUGUGUGAGCAAGAAGUAAACUUACAAUCCUUUUGUGCCA
rnacentral:lncRNA from 1 species